GACGAACGCUGGCGGCGUGCUUAACACAUGCCAGUCGAACGGAAAGGCCCUGCUUUUGUGGGUGCUCGAGUGGCGAACGGGUGAGUAACACGUGAGUAACCUGCACUUGACUUUGGGAUAACUUCAGGAAACUGGGGCUAAUACCGGAUAGGAGCUCCUGCUGCAUGGUGGGGGUUGGAAAGUUUCGGCGGUUGGGGAUGGACUCGCGGCUUAUCAGCUUGUUGGUGGGGUGGUGGCUUACCAAGGCUUUGACGGGUAGGCGGCCUGAGAGGGUGACCGGCCACAUUGGGACUGAGAUACGGCCCAGACUCCUACGGGAGGCAGCAGUGGGGAAUAUUGCACAAUGGGCGGAAGGCUGAUGCAGCAGCGCCGCGUGCGGGAUGACGGCCUUCGGGUUGUAGACCGCUUUCGCCUGAGACGAAGCGUGAGUGACGGUAAUGGGUAAAGAAGCACCGGCUAACUACGUG
rnacentral:rRNA from 1 species